rnacentral:rRNA from 1 species
CGUCUAUAUACGUAUAGCAUAUCAAUAAGCGGAGGAAAAGAAACUAACUAGGAUUCCCUCAGUAACGGCGAGUGAAGCGGGAAGAGCUCAAAUUUGAAAUCUUCAAGGUUCUACCUUGACGAAUUGUAGUUUAAAGAAGUGUUUUCUAGUUGGAGUUUUGGUAAAAGUUCUUUGGAAAUAGGACAUCAUAGAGGGUGAGAAUCCCGUAUUUGACCAUUAUCUUCCAGCUUUGUGAUACACUUUCAAAGAGUCGGAUUGUUUGGGAAUGCAGUCCAAAAUGGGUGGUAAAUUUCAUCUAAAGCUAAAUACUUGGCGAGAGACCGAUAGCGAACAAGUACCGUGAGGGAAAGAUGAAAAGAACUUUGAAAAGAGAGUUAAACAGUACGUGAAAUUGUCAAAAGGGAAGCGUUUGACACCAGUGUUGUUUUCCCUCGAAAAUCAAUUAAAAAAGGCCGGAUUUUGUGUUGUAUUGACUUUAUCAGCUUUCUGCACUCUUUUCUUGUCCUUUUUUAAUGCACUUUUCGUUUAACAAGUCAACAUCAAUUUCUUUUGUUGUAAAAGAGUCAUUGGAAGGUGGCUUUCUUUUCGGAGAAAGUGUUUAUAGCCUUUGACUUCUGCAAUCGGAGAGAUUGAGGUCUGCAGCGUAGAUCCUUCGGGGUUAGAUAGCAUUUGUGCUAAGUUAUAGCCUUUCAUAGACAACUUGUUGACUAUGAUCAGUCAUGUAGCUUACUCGCUUAUGCUAUUUUACCUACGCUUAGGAUGUUGAAGUCAUCGUAUCGCGC